UUGCCGUCAAUUAGUUUGUCCAAACCUUAAUUAAACCCAGUUUAUAGAGCAAUUAAUUUCGGCCUAAACAUGGGCUAAGCACAGCCCAGAUAUCUGCUUCAAAGUGACCCGAACAGCAGACCAAUUAUCAGAUAUGAAGCGGCACCGUUUGGGGUUUUUUUUUUCUACCCCCUACCUUUCCUCUUUCAGCAACAGCCAACGGAGAAGAGGCUAGAGUAAGUGUCUUGGUUCUGUAAAGAAGACAAGGGAAGCAUGGUGGUCAAAAUCGUUGACGAGAGGCAUGGUUGAUGUUGACUGGUCGAGGAAACCAACGAAGAGUGAGCUUGCCUUUUUGCUGUUGUUCACAUGGUCCAACGUUGGACGCGGAAAAGGGAAGAUUGAUGGAGAAAUAAUAGAGAGGCGUUUGGCUCGCGAAGAAAUCAUGACAGAGCAGAAGAGAGAGGACGUACCACACAGCUGAAUGAGAAGCCGAAUAUAGGAAUAAAAGUAAAGCCAGUUGCUUCAGUUCAGAAUAAGCAUUGAAGAGGAAAGUGUGGACUGAAAAAGAGAGCAUGAGAGCAGGGAUUGGGGCGUUGAAUGAAGAAAAGACAGAGAGCAGAUGAAGUCCUCGGUUUCGGCAUAAAAAUCAGAAGCCAAGGAGCUUCAGGAGGAGAAAAAGGAAAAGACACUGUCGGUGAGUGAAAACAUAGGGAUUUUUGGCGGGAAAAAGGGAUAGAGAGGGAAGAAUCUAAAAGGGGAUUGACGGCGAGAAAGAAGGGAGAAAAGGAAACAAUAAAACAGGGAGCGUGAGCAAGGGAAGAAGAGAGGAGCAGCGACCUAUCAAAAGGCUUUGGAAGGGGAAUUCCACUAGUUUCACUAAACACGCAAUUUGGUUCACUUUGGCCCACUGAGAUUGAGAUAUGAGGGGCUGCUUUGGCAAUAAUUAUUCAUAUCAUAGAGAAUUGUGAGGGUCGGUUGGGUGAGAAAGUGGAAGAGCUAGUAGAAAUGGUAAAAGAGGUGUUGCCCCCUGUUCCCACAGCAUUGAUUGAUGAGAAGACAAUGGAAGAGAAUAAAGAAGAAACUGGAGAUGAGGAGCAAGCGGCCAAGGAUGAAAGUAAAACUGCGGACGAGGAACAGAUGGUAAUAAGUUAAGGUCAAACUCUGUUUCCUGAAUCCCUAUGUAUGUGUGUAUAUAUACAUAUGAUACAUACAUAUUAGGGGUUUUGUGGAUAUGCAAAGAUUAUAGUUUAGCUUCAACACAGAAUUUGAUAAUGAUCAAAAACAUAGCAAGUAGAUUUUCAUGGUAGCCCUGGAUUUGUGUUUUGAGAUUCAUCAGGGCAAAUUAAAACACAGGAAUCACCAGAGGUUUAUUGAAUUCGUCAUCAAUAUAAUUGUUUAAAAUAAA